AUUGAACGCUGGCGGCAGGCCUAACACAUGCAAGUCGAGCGGAUGAAGGGAGCUUGCUCCUGGAUUCAGCGGCGGACGGGUGAGUAAUGCCUAGGAAUCUGCCUGGUAGUGGGGGAUAACGUCCGGAAACGGGCGCUAAUACCGCAUAAGUCCUGAGGGAGAAAGUGGGGGAUCUUCGGACCUCACGCUCUCAGAUGAGUCUAGGUCGGAUUAGCUAGUUGGUGGGGUAAAGGCCUACCAAGGCGACGAUCCGUAACUGGUCUGAGAGGAUGAUCAGACACACUGGAACUGAGACACGGUCCAGACUCCUACGGGAGGCAGCAGUGGGGAAUAUUGGACAAUGGGCGAAAGCCUGAUCCAGCCAUGCCGCGUGUGUGAAGAAGGUCUUCGGAUUGUAAAGCACUUUAAGUUGGGAGGAAGGGCAGUAAGUUAAUACCUUGCUGUUUUGACGGUACCAACAGAAUAAGCACCGGCUAACUUCGUG
rnacentral:rRNA from 1 species